GAUGAACGCUGGCGGCGUGCCUAAUACAUGCAAGUCGAGCGAACAGAUGAGGCUUUUGCUCCUCUGACGUUAGCGGCGGGCGGGUGAGUAACACGUGGAUAACCUACCUAUAGGACUGGGAUAACUUCGGGAAACCGGAUCUAAUACCGGAUAAUAUAUUGAACCGCAGGGUUCAUUGGAAAAAGACGGUUUUGCUGUCACUUAUAGAGGGUUCCGAGCCGGAUUAGCUAGUUGGUAAGUUAACGGCUUACCAAGGCAAGGAUGCGUAGCCGACCUGACAGGGUGAUCGGCCACCCUGGAACUGAGACACGGUCCAGACUCCUACGGGAGGGCGCAGUAGGGAAUCUUCCGCAAUAGGCGGAAGCCUUACGGAGCAACGCCGCGUGAGUGAUGGAGGUCCUCGGAUCGUAAAACCCUGUUAUUAGGGAAGAACAAAUGUGUAAGUAACUAUGCACGGCUUGACGGUAACUAAUAAGAAAGCCACGGCUAACUACGUG
rnacentral:rRNA from 1 species